AUAAGAUUCAUAAGAGGUCUAACUACAAAAACAGUAGAAAAUCGAAUCAAACGCCCUAACCCAGUACCCAAGUGGGUACAAUGGGCGCCAAUGGGAUAAGAUUCAUAAGAGGUCUAACUUAGGUAAAUGGGUAAAUGGCUAAAGUAGUGUUAUCUACUUUAGCCAUU